AAAACGACUCUCGGCAACGGAUAUCUCGACUCUCGCAUCGAUGAAGAACGUAGCGAAAUGCGAUACUUGGUGUGAAUUGCAGAAUCCCGUGAACCAUCGAGUCUUUGAACGCAAGUUGCGCCCCAAGCCGUUAGGCCGAGGGCACGCCUGCCUGGGUGUCACGC
rnacentral:rRNA from 2 species